rnacentral:tRNA from 1 species
CGUCAGGUAGCUCAAUGGUUUAGAGCAGUCGCCCGUCAAACGAACGUCUCGGGUUCGAUUCCUGGUCUAGCGA